AUGGGCUCCUGGACCCUCUGCUGUGUGUCCCUUUGUAUCCUGGUAGCAAAGCACACAGAUUCUGGAGUUAUGCAGUCACCCCGGCAUGAGGUGACAGAGAUGGGACAAGAAGUGAUUCUGAGAUGUAAACCAAUUUCAGGACACGACUACCUUUUCUGGUACAGACAGAUCAUGAUGCAGGGACUGGAGUUGCUGAUUUACUUUAACAACAAGGCUGUGAUGGAUGAUUCAGGGAUGCCCAAGGAUCGAUUCUCAGCUAAGAUGCCUAAUGCAUCAUUCUCCACUCUGAAGAUCCAGCCCUCAGAACCCAGGGACUCAGCUGUGUACUUCUGCGCCAGCAGUUUAGCCACAGCGCUGCAGAACCACCCCUUUCCUGUGCAGAAACCCUGGUGUUUCCCCUUCUCCUUCUAUCUCCCAGCAGUCCUGGGCAAAGUCUUUCCUCCCUCCCCAUGA